AACCAAAUCGAAAAUAGGAAUACAAAACGAAAAACAACUGGCAGUAUGCUCGGAAUCGAGCAUUUGCUCUUUGUAUUAACUACAUUUGCCUUUCCACCAGUGGCACUGACCGUCUUGCUAUGCAUCAUUCUGGCAACAUUUGGAAAGUCCCUUGGAUUGCGGCAGAUGUACGUGGACACAUUGAUCAACAUAUUCGAGGUUUGUAUUUCUAUUUCUGAGAUUGAAGGUCAAGAAGUUUUCUUUUUUUCUUCAUCAUAAAUUAUUUGGGAACAACUCGAAAUCUAUUGUCUUAUCAAACAGCGUUCAGACAUUUUUCUUCUAUCUUUCGCCCAAAUAUGGUCUGAUGGCCUGGCCAGAUUGAUAAAAAACAGUGACGAAAAACAACGUUGUUGGAAAGAAAAACCACCGACUUGUAACGAAUUGAUAUUAGAGUAAUGUAUAAGUAGUAUAUAGUAUAUUACUUUUUCAGUGGGGUGCUCGCCAAAUCAAAACAACCGAAAAGAUUAGAAGGAAAGAGAGCGCUCUGACCGCUCCAUUUUUUCUCAACAAGCUUUCCGAAGAAGCCGAUGACGACGAAGAUGAGAUCAGAAGUAUGGAGACUCCACAUUUUGAAGCCACAGAUGGAAUCACGGAUGAUGAAAUUGAGGCUCGGAGUGAAACGGAAAGCCAUGAUUCUGGAGAAGACUUUCCGUCAGUUGACUCUGACUUUGGUGACGAGUCGUGUUUAAAGAGAAAGUUUGGAUCAACUACUAGUGAGUUGAUAGAGUAAAACAGAAAAGCAUGCUAGCUUCUUUAUAAAGCAUGUACCCCCAUUUUCUCGUUUUGUUUUGUCAGGUUGGGUAUCUCAUUUCAGGUCUCGCCUCCGUUGGAUCAUGCUGCAGUCUCCGAAAUAGAAAGAUGUCUGAAAGCAGCACAUGUAUGUUGUAAUCAUUUGAUCGGGUAGUUUUAAAUAUGUUGAAAGUGGAGUAGAGCCAGUGGAGAAACUGUGAAAAACUAUUUUCACGAUGCCCAAAUGACCAAAUAUAAUAGUAAAACUUUUCAAAAAUUUUGGAACUAAAAAUUGUUAUUGACAGUCAAAAACUGGCAAUUACUGGGCUUUUGACAGUUUUUGAGAAAACUAUAGCACUGCCGUAAGUCCUAACCCCUACAAUGUUUAAACAUUAAUACAUUAAUACUUGAAAUAAAACUACAUAUUCCAUAAAAUUCCAAGAUUUGACGACUUCCAAAAAAUUGGCAAAAACUAUGUAAUUGCCACUUUUUAAAGCAAAAAAACCCUUUCAAAAACAUUCUGAAAAGUUUUACUUUGAUAUUUGGUACGUUUGGCACAGUAUAAUUGGUUUUUAACAAUUUCCUCAGUGGCGCUACUCCUAAAUAAAAUUUUAUCAAGUUUUGAGUUGUGGUAGUACCUUUUCUGAUUUUUUUUCUUCUUUCUCCACAUUUCUCAUACUGCUUUAUAUUUUAAGUGGGUAUAAUUUGUAUGUUUGGUUGCAAUUUCACUGCUUUGGUUCAGUUAAUUUGUAUCACUUUUGAAAAUAUUAUACCGAUUUCUGAAACUUAAAAUAAUUUUUGAAGUUACCAGUUUCUGAUCUCAUUAGUGCCUCCAGUAGAAGUUAGCCUAUUAGUACGUAAUUCGAUUAAUCACAAAAAAUGCCAAUUAUAAAUACAUGUUUUUUCAUUGAAUUGUUCCAGUGGGAAUCAUCAAACGAGAGACACAAAUCUACCUUGACGAUAACUUUUCUGAAGACAUUCCUGAUGAGGUGUUUGUCAGAAGUCGAGGAUGGGCUGCAAUUCGUGAUUCGG
rnacentral:sRNA from 1 species